GACGAACGCUGGCGGCGUGCUUAACACAUGCAAGUCGAACGGAAAGGCCCUGCUUUUGUGGGGUGCUCGAGUGGCGAACGGGUGAGUAACACGUGAGUAACCUGCCCUUGACUUUGGGAUAACUUCAGGAAACUGGGGCUAAUACCGGAUAGGAGCUCCUGCUGCAUGGUGGGGGUUGGAAAGUUUCGGCGGUUGUGGAUGGACUCGCGGCUUAUCAGCUUGUUGGUGGGGUAGUGGCUUACCAAGGCUUUGACGGGUAGCCGGCCUGAGAGGGUGACCGGCCACAUUGGGACUGAGAUACGGCCCAGACGCCUACGGGAGGCAGCAGUGGGGAAUAUUGCACAAUGGGCGGAAGCCUGAUGCAGCAACGCCGCGUGCGGGAUGACGGCCUUCGGGUUGUAAACCGCUUUCGCCUGUGACGAAGCGUGAGUGACGGUAAUGGGUAAAGAAGCACCGGCUAACUACGUG
rnacentral:rRNA from 1 species